UGGGUGAAGACAAGACACCCUUGUCAGUGAUGGGAGAAGACGAAGACGGUGAUGGCCGAUGGACGGACAAGGAUCACGAUCCACGGCCAGGGGCUAGGGCAUCGAAUGAAAAAUUUGGAAAGAGUCGGAAGACUGAAGAUGAAAGGCGAGGGGCUAUCCACUUACGCCUCACGGAUUGUAACUCAUAAAAAUUAAGGGGCAUGAAACC
rnacentral:lncRNA from 1 species